rnacentral:tRNA from 1 species
AGUUUUAUAUUCAACAAUGAUUUUAAAUUGCAAAUUUAAAGGUGGGAGGUAUCCCUAAAACUU